CUCAAUCCGAUAUCGAUUGGUCCAAGAAAUUAUACUAUUCAUGUUUGUACGAAGUUCGUUCUAAAAUGGAGUGGUUGGUGGGUUGGUGUAUUGCAUAGUUCUAGAGAUUGGAUUUCCUCAAAACUCACCAAAUGAUUCCUCCCACAACAUUAUGACGUUCCCCAAGUUUUGGUAUCAAUCCGACAUCGCUUGGUCCAUAAAAUUGGACAAUUCAGGUCCGUACGAAGUUCGUUCUUAAAUGGAGUGGUUGAUGUAUUGUACAGUUUUAG
rnacentral:lncRNA from 1 species